rnacentral:RNase_P_RNA from 1 species
AUCGCCGGACGGAGGGUCGCUCCGCGCGCCGCGAGGCGGGCGGGGAGGAACUUCCGAACUUCACAGGGCAGGGUGCCGGUUCAAAGCCGCGCCGCUAACGCGGCCGGCCAUAGGCCGGGAGGCCGGGGCCAUAUCCCCGGCCGACGGAAAGCGCCACAGAGAACAUACCGCCCGCGAGGGCAAGGGUGAAAAGGUGCGGUAAGAGCGCACCGCCCGCCGGGCGACCGGCGGGGCAGGGCAAGCCCCACCUGAAGCAAGGCCAAAGCGGCGUCCAGGAUGCCCGUCCAUCCGCCUCCGGGCGGAGACGCCAAGUGGGCCGCUCAGACAAAUGAUCCUCCAUCCGCCUCCGGGCGGGGGACAGAAUUCGGGGUACAGUCCGGCGAUAAAU